rnacentral:rRNA from 1 species
GACGAACGCUGGCGGCGUGCCUAAUACAUGCAAGUCGAGCGAAGCGGCGGAUGGGUGAGUAACGCGUGGGAAACCUGCACUUAAGUCUGGGAUACCAUUUGGAAACAGAUGCUAAUACCGGAUACUAAGGGAAGGAACUGCAAUGAAUUAGCUAGUUGGCAAGGUAACGGCUUACCAAGGCGAUGAUGCAUAGCUGAGUGGAGAGACUGAUCGGCCCCACUGGGACUGAGACACGGCCCAGACUCCUACGGUAGGCAGCAGUAGGGAAUCUUCCACAAUGGACGAAAGUCUGAUGGAGCCACGCCGCGUGAAUGAAGAAGGUUUUCGGAUCGUAAAGCUCUUUUGGUGGUGAAGCGUUAAUCAACGAGAAAGGCACGGCUAACUCCGUGCCAGCGGCCGCGGUAAUAC